CGGGAAGAGCUCAAAUUUAAAAUCUGGCAGUGUAUUCUGUCCGAGUUGUAGUCUAGAGAAGCAUCAUCCGUGCUGGACCAUGUACAAGUCUCUUGGAACAGAGCGUCAUAGAGGGUGAGAGCCCCGUC
rnacentral:rRNA from 1 species